ACUUUAACACCUUAACCUCAAAGAAAUGUUUUUGAUAAACAGUUAAAGAGAGAUAUUUGCCGAGUUCCUUUAAAGUA
rnacentral:tRNA from 1 species